UAUACAUUGAGUCAAUGUGCAGGGGUACGAGGUAGUAAUGAGGCUAUAUACAUUGAGUCAAUGUGCAGGGGUACGAGGUAGUAAUGAGGCUAUAUACAUUGAGUCAAUGUGCAGGGGUACGAGGUAGUAAUGAGGCUAUAUACAUUGAGUCAAUGUGCAGGGGUACGAGGUAGUAAUUAGGCUAUAUACAUUGAGUCGAUGUGCAGGGGUACGAGGUAGUAAUGAGGCUAUAUACAUUGAGUCAAUGUGCAGGGGUACGAGGUAGUAAUGAGGCUAUAUACAUUGAGUCAAUGUGCAGGGGUACGAGGUAGUAAUGAGGCUAUAUACAUUGAGUCAAUGUGCAGGGGUACGAGGUAGUAAUGAGGCUAUAUACAUUGAGUCAAUGUGCAGGGGUACGAGGUAGUAAUGAGGCUAUAUACAUUGAGUCAAUGUGCAGGGGUACGAGGUAGUAAUGAGGCUAUAUACAUUGAGUCAAUGUGCAGGGGUACGAGGUAGUAAUGAGGCUAUAUACAUUGAGUCGAUGUGCAGGGGUACGAGGUAGUAAUUAGGCUAUAUACAUUGAGUCGAUGUGCAGGGGUACGAGGUAGUAAUGAGGCUACAUUGAGUCGAUGUGCAGGGGUACGAGGUAGUAAUGAGGCUAUAUACAUUGAGUCGAUGUGCAGGGGUACGAGGUAGUGGAGGUGGUUGAGGUAAUAUGUACAGAGCCUUCAGAAAGUUCACACUCCUUGACUUGUUCCACGUUUUGUUGUGUUGAAUUUGAAAUAUUACGUUUGUUUGUCACUGGCCACA